rnacentral:rRNA from 1 species
GCAGUAGCCGCGGUAAUACAGAGGGUGCAAGCGUUAAUCGGGAUUACUGGGCGUAAAGCGUGCGUAGGCGGUUUGUUAAGUCUGCUGUGAAAUCCCCGGGCUCAACCUGGGAAUGGCAGUGGAUACUGGCAAGCUAGAGUGUGUCAGAGGAUGGUGGAAUUCCCGGUGUAGCGGUGAAAUGCGUAGAGAUCGGGAGGAACAUCAGUGGCGAAGGCGGCCAUCUGGGACAACACUGACGCUGAGGCACGAAAGCGUGGGGAGCAAACAGGAUUAGAUACCCGUGUAGUCCCUGUCUCUUAUAC